rnacentral:rRNA from 1 species
AUGUCUGGAAGCACGGGAGAACGUUCUUUUGCUGAUAUUAUUACCAGUAUUCGAUACUGGGUUAUUCAUAGCAUUACUAUACCUUCCCUAUUCAUUGCUGGUUGGUUAUUUGUCAGUACGGGUUUAGCUUAUGACGUGUUUGGAAGUCCUAGGCCAAACGAGUAUUUCACGGAAAGCCGACAAGGAAUUCCGUUAAUAACCGACCGUUUUGAUUCUUUAGAACAACUCGGUGAAUUUAGUAGAUCCUUUUAG